rnacentral:sRNA from 1 species
GACCUGGCGCCGCGGCCGAGGCGCGAACAGACGGACGCACGGGCGAGCGCCGAGGGGACAGGCCGAGCGCGGGGCGCCGGAGGCAGGUGUGGGACAGGCACUGGCCUCAGACCGGGGCCACACUGAGGUCUGCCCUUCUCCCGCUGGCCGCCACCCAGGACACCAUGAGCCAGUCCGGGGCCGUGAGCUGCUGCCCGGGUGCCACCAAUGGCAGCCUGGGCCGGUCCGACGGUGUGGCCAAGAUGAGCCCCAAGGACCUGUUUGAGCAGAGGAAGAAGUAUUCCAACUCCAACGUCAUCAUGCACGAGACUUCGCAGUACCACGUCCAGCACCUGGCCACAUUCAUCAUGGACAAGAGCGAAGCCAUCACGUCUGUGGACGAUGCCAUCCGGAAGCUGGUGCAGCUGAGCUCCAAGGAGAAGAUCUGGACCCAGGAGAUGCUGCUGCAGGUGAACGACCAGUCGCUGCGGCUGCUGGACAUCGAGUCUCAGAGUGCCCAGACCCCGGGUGCGAGUCAUGUCCGCGCGAUGUACCCGCAGGAGGAGCUGGAAAACUUCCCGCUGCCCACGGUGCAGCGCAGCCAGACGGUCCUCAACCAGCUGCGCUACCCGUCUGUGCUGCUGCUCGUGUGCCAGGACUCGGAGCAGAGCAAGCCGGAUGUCCACUUCUUCCACUGCGACGAGGUGGAGGCAGAGCUGGUGCACGAGGACAUCGAGAGCGCGUUGGCCGACUGCCGGCUGGGCAAGAAGAUGCGGCCGCAGACCCUGAAGGGACACCAGGAGAAGAUUCGGCAGCGGCAGUCCAUCCUGCCUCCUCCCCAGGGCCCGGCACCCAUCCCCUUCCAGCACCGCGGCGGGGAUUCCCCGGAGGCCAAGAAUCGCGUGGGCCCGCAGGUGCCACUCAGCGAGCCAGGUAGGCCGAGGGGCUGGAGGGGGCUCCACAGGGCUCAUUGUGGGGGGCUCGGUGAGCAGCCGCCGUGUCCCCCAUCAGGUUUCCGCCGUCGGGAGUCGCAGGAGGAGGAGCCGCGGGCCGUGCUGGCUCAGAAGAUAGAGAAGGAGACGCAAAUCCUCAACUGCGCCCUGGACGACAUCGAGUGGUUUGUGGCCCGGCUGCAGAAGGCGGCCGAGGCUUUCAAGCAGCUGAACCAGCGGAAGAAGGGGAAGAAGAAGGGCAAGAAGGCGCCAGCAGGUGCAGGGGACAGGGACGGGGCCGGCAGGUGCAGGGGCCAGGGACGGGGACGGGGCCAGGGACAUCCAUGGGGGCUACUCAUGGAGGUGGAGGAAGGUCCAGCCCACACAGAUGGGCUGCAUGGGACAGAAGGCGCAGGGGCCGGGGAGAUCAGGGCCAGCCUGGCUCACGCGGUGCCUCCCAUGCCAGAGGGCGUCCUCACACUGCGGGCACGGCCCCCCUCUGAGGGCGAGUUCAUCGACUGCUUCCAGAAAAUCAAGCUGGCGAUUAACUUGCUGGUGAGUCCGGUGGCCCCAGCCCUGCCCCACUGUCUGUGCUGAGGGGAGGGUGGAGGCCCCGCCCCGCCCCGGCACCUGCUCACUUGUUCCCACCCCCAGGCAAAGCUGCAGAAGCACAUCCAGAACCCCAGCGCCGCGGAGCUCGUGCACUUCCUCUUCGGGCCUCUGGACCUGGUGCCUGGGGCCGGGCGGCAGGGGCGCGCAGGGUGGGGGCCCAGAGGCCUCUGGAGCAUCUCCCCGGGGUCGGGGUUGGGGCAGCAGGUGCCCGCCUUGGGCAGCCCGGUUCACGCUGUGUGGCCACUCUCCGUGGG